GACGAACGCUGGCGGCGUGCCUAAUACAUGCAAGUUGAGCGCAGAAGGUUGGUACUUGUACCUACUGUAUUAGCAGCGAACGGGUGAGUAACGCGUGGGGAAUCUGCCUUUGAGCGGGGGACAACAUUUGGAAACGAAUGCUAAUACCGCAUAAAAACUUUAAACACAAGUUUCAAGUUUGAAAGAUGCAAUUGCAUCACUCAAAGAUGAUCCCGCGUUUUAUUAGCUAGUUGGUUAGGUAAAGGCCCACCAAGGCGAUGAUACAUAGCCGAACUGAGAGGGGGAUCCGCCAACUUGGGACUGAGACACGGGCCCAACUCCUUCGGGAGGCAACAAUAGGGAAUCUUCGGCAAUGGACGGAAGGCUGGACGGGGAAAGCCCGCUGGGUGGAGGAGGUUUUCGGGACCUAAAACUCUGUUGAUAAGGGAGGAAGUUGUUGGGAAUGAAAAGCUCACAAAGUGACGGUAACUACUCAGAAAGCGACGGCUAACUACGUG
rnacentral:rRNA from 1 species